AGCGAACGCUGGCGGCAGGCCUAACACAUGCAAGUCGAGCGCCGUAGCAAUACGGAGCGGCAGACGGGAGAGUAACACGUGGGAACGUACCCUUUGGUUCGGAACAACACAGGGAAACUUGUGCUAAUACCGGAUAAGCCCUUACGGGGAAAGAUUUAUCGCCAAAGGAUCGGCCCGCGUCUGAUUAGCUAGUUGGUGGGGUAACGGCCCACCAAGGCGACGAUCAGUAGCUGGUCUGAGAGGAUGAUCAGCCUCACUGGGACUGAGACACGGCCCAGACUCCUACGGGAGGCAGCAGUGGGGAAUAUUGGACAAUGGGCGCAAGCCUGAUCCAGCCAUGCCGCGUGGAUGAUGAAGGCCCUAGGGGUUGUAAAGUCCUUUCGACGGGGGAAGAUAAUGACGGUACCCGUAGAAGAAGCCCCGGCUAACUUCGUGCCAGCAGCCGCGGUAAU
rnacentral:rRNA from 1 species